rnacentral:rRNA from 1 species
GGGUUGUGAGGUUAAGCGACUAAGCGUACACGGUGGAUGCCCUGGCAGUCAGAGGCGAUGAAGGGCGUGCUAAUCUGCGAUAAGCGCCGGUAAGGUGAUAUGAACCGUUAUAACCGGCGAUACCCGAAUGGGGAAACCCAGUGUGAUUCGUCACACUAUCAUUAACUGAAUCCAUAGGUUAAUGAGGCGAACCGGGGGAACUGAAACAUCUAAGUACCCCGAGGAAAAGAAAUCAACCGAGAUUCCCCCAGUAGCGGCGAGCGAACGGGGAGGAGCCCAGAGCCUGAAUCAGCAUGUGUGUUAGUGGAAGCGUCUGGAAAGGCGCGCGAUACAGGGUGACAGCCCCGUACACAAAAGCGCAUAUGCUGUGAGCUCGAUGAGUAGGGCGGGACACGUGGUAUCCUGUCUGAAUAUGGGGGGACCAUCCUCCAAGGCUAAAUACUCCUGACUGACCGAUAGUGAACCAGUACCGUGAGGGAAAGGCGAAAAGAACCCCGGCGAGGGGAGUGAAAAAGAACCUGAAACCGUGUACGUACAAGCAGUGGGAGCACAGGUUUACCUGUGUGACUGCGUACCUUUUGUAUAAUGGGUCAGCGACUUAUAUUCUGUAGCAAGGUUAACCGAAUAGGGGAGCCGUAGGGAAACCGAGUCUUAACCGGGCGUUAAGUUGCAGGGUAUAGACCCGAAACCCGGUGAUCUAGCCAUGGGCAGGUUGAAGGUUGGGUAACACUAACUGGAGGACCGAACCGACUAAUGUUGAAAAAUUAGCGGAUGACCUGUGGCUGGGGGUGAAAGGCCAAUCAAACCGGGAGAUAGCUGGUUCUCCCCGAAAGCUAUUUAGGUAGCGCCUCGUGAAUUCAUCUCCGGGGGUAGAGCACUGUUUCGGCUAGGGGGCCAUCCCGGCUUACCAACCCGAUGCAAACUGCGAAUACCGGAGAAUGUUAUCACGGGAGACACACGGCGGGUGCUAACGUCCGUCGUGAAGAGGGAAACAACCCAGACCGCCAGCUAAGGUCCCAAAGUCAUGGUUAAGUGGGAAACGAUGUGGGAAGGCCCAGACAGCCAGGAUGUUGGCUUAGAAGCAGCCAUCAUUUAAAGAAAGCGUAAUAGCUCACUGGUCGAGUCGGCCUGCGCGGAAGAUGUAACGGGGCUAAACCAUGCACCGAAGCUGCGGCAGCGAACGUAUCACUUAAAGCGAUUCAGCGGAUUACGAUUGACGGAGCGAAGCGACGUCAAAGCGUAUACAAAGUCGAGUCGGUUUAAGGAUACGUUCGUUGGGUAGGGGAGCGUUCUGUAAGCCUGUGAAGGUGGCCUGUGAGGGUUGCUGGAGGUAUCAGAAGUGCGAAUGCUGACAUAAGUAACGAUAAAGCGGGUGAAAAGCCCGCUCGCCGGAAGACCAAGGGUUCCUGUCCAACGUUAAUCGGGGCAGGGUGAGUCGACCCCUAAGGCGAGGCCGAAAGGCGUAGUCGAUGGGAAACGGGUUAAUAUUCCCGUACUUGGUGUUACUGCGAAGGGGGGACGGAGAAGGCUAUGUUGGCCGGGCGACGGUUGUCCCGGUUUAAGCGUGUAGGCUGGUUUUCCAGGCAAAUCCGGAAAAUCAAGGCUGAGGCGUGAUGACGAGGCACUACGGUGCUGAAGCAACAAAUGCCCUGCUUCCAGGAAAAGCCUCUAAGCAUCAGGUAACAUCAAAUCGUACCCCAAACCGACACAGGUGGUCAGGUAGAGAAUACCAAGGCGCUUGAGAGAACUCGGGUGAAGGAACUAGGCAAAAUGGUGCCGUAACUUCGGGAGAAGGCACGCUGACACGUAGGUGAAGUGAUUUACUCAUGGAGCUGAAGUCAGUCGAAGAUACCAGCUGGCUGCAACUGUUUAUUAAAAACACAGCACUGUGCAAACACGAAAGUGGACGUAUACGGUGUGACGCCUGCCCGGUGCCGGAAGGUUAAUUGAUGGGGUCAGCGCAAGCGAAGCUCCUGAUCGAAGCCCCGGUAAACGGCGGCCGUAACUAUAACGGUCCUAAGGUAGCGAAAUUCCUUGUCGGGUAAGUUCCGACCUGCACGAAUGGCGUAAUGAUGGCCAGGCUGUCUCCACCCGAGACUCAGUGAAAUUGAACUCGCUGUGAAGAUGCAGUGUACCCGCGGCAAGACGGAAAGACCCCGUGAACCUUUACUAUAGCUUGACACUGAACAUUGAGCCUUGAUGUGUAGGAUAGGUGGGAGGCUUUGAAGUGUGGACGCCAGUCUGCAUGGAGCCGACCUUGAAAUACCACCCUUUAAUGUUUGAUGUUCUAACGUGGACCCGUAAUCCGGGUUGCGGACAGUGUCUGGUGGGUAGUUUGACUGGGGCGGUCUCCUCCUAAAGAGUAACGGAGGAGCACGAAGGUUGGCUAAUCCUGGUCGGACAUCAGGAGGUUAGUGCAAUGGCAUAAGCCAGCUUGACUGCGAGCGUGACGGCGCGAGCAGGUGCGAAAGCAGGUCAUAGUGAUCCGGUGGUUCUGAAUGGAAGGGCCAUCGCUCAACGGAUAAAAGGUACUCCGGGGAUAACAGGCUGAUACCGCCCAAGAGUUCAUAUCGACGGCGGUGUUUGGCACCUCGAUGUCGGCUCAUCACAUCCUGGGGCUGAAGUAGGUCCCAAGGGUAUGGCUGUUCGCCAUUUAAAGUGGUACGCGAGCUGGGUUUAGAACGUCGUGAGACAGUUCGGUCCCUAUCUGCCGUGGGCGCUGGAGAACUGAGGGGGGCUGCUCCUAGUACGAGAGGACCGGAGUGGACGCAUCACUGGUGUUCGGGUUGUCAUGCCAAUGGCACUGCCCGGUAGCUAAAUGCGGAAGAGAUAAGUGCUGAAAGCAUCUAAGCACGAAACUUGCCCCGAGAUGAGUUCUCCCUGAGACUUAGAGUCUCCUGAAGGAACGUUGAAGACGACGACGUUGAUAGGCCGGGUGUGUAAGCGCAGCGAUGCGUUGAGCUAACCGGUACUAAUGAACCGUGAGGCUUAACCUUACAACGCCGAAGGUGUUU